UACGAAGGGGGCUAGCGUUGUUCGGAAUUACUGGGCGUAAAGCGCACGUAGGCGGAUAUUUAAGUCUGAUGUGAAAGCCCGGGGCUCACCCCCGGAAGUGCAUCGGAUACUGGGAGGCUCGAGUACCGGAGAGGAGGGUGGAAUUCUCGGUGUAGCGGUGAAAUGCGUAGAUAUCGAGAGGAACACCUGCGGCGAAGGCGGGUUGCUGGGCUGACACUGACGCUGAGGCGCGAAAGCCAGGGGAGCGAACGGG
rnacentral:rRNA from 1 species